rnacentral:misc_RNA from 1 species
GUAUUGUGGUCGUCUCUCCUUGUUUGGAUUGCUCUUGCUUCCUCAUGUGCCUGACUUCUGCGUGGUGUCUUUCAACUGCGGCCCGACGGUAUUCUGAUAUUGAAGAGAGGCUAGCCCGGAGCCAGGCGGAACUCGAUCAGGUCACUGGAUUUCUCGAUGGGGCGCGGGCGAUGAACACCUCUUUGCAAUCAAAACUGGAUAUGGAAAAGAAAAGUCACGAGGUAACUCGCCGAGAGCUCCAAGUGGCAUAUUCCAUGUUAUCAGCCUAUUACCAAGAAUAUUCCCAUCCGCAGGAUGAAAUCCGGAAAC